rnacentral:rRNA from 1 species
GAUGAACGCUAGCUACAGGCUUAACACAUGCAAGUCGAGGGGUAACGAGAGGGAAGCUUGCUUUCCUUGUCGACGACCGGCGCACGGGUGAGUAACGCGUAUCCAACCUGCCCCCAACUAGGGAAUAACCUUGCGAAAGUAAGACUAAUACCCUAUAAUUUCCUCAGAUGUCAUCUGACGAGGAAUAAAGAUUUAUCGGUUGUGGAUGGGGAUGCGUCUGAUUAGCUUGUUGGCGGGGUAACGGCCCACCAAGGCAACGAUCAGUAGGGGUUCUGAGAGGAAGGUCCCCCACAUUGGAACUGAGACACGGUCCAAACUCCUAGGGUAGGCAGCAGUGAGGAAUAUUGGUCAAUGGGCGGAAGCCUGAACCAGCCAAGUAGCGUGCAGGAUGACGGCCCUAUGGGUUGUAAACUGCUUUUAUACAGGAAUAAAGUUAGCCACGUGUGGUUAUUUGUAGGUACUGUAUGAAUAAGGACCGGCUAAUUCCGUGCCAGCAGCCGCCGUAA